GAUGAACGCUGGCGGCGUGCUUAACACAUGCAAGUCGAGCGAAGCACCUUGACGGAUUUCUUCGGAUUGAAGCCUUGGUGACUGAGCGGCGGACGGGUGAGUAACGCGUGGGUAACCUGCCUCAUACAGGGGGAUAACAGUUGGAAACGGCUGCUAAUACCGCAUAAGCGCACAGUACCGCAUGGUACGGUGUGAAAAACUCCGGUGGUAUGAGAUGGACCCGCGUCUGAUUAGGUAGUUGGUGGGGUAACGGCCUACCAAGCCGACGAUCAGUAGGCGACCUGCGAGGGUGACCGGCCACAUUGGGACUGAGACACGGACCAAACUCCUACGGGAGGCAGCAGUGGGGAAUAUUGCACAAUGGGGGAAACCCUGAUGCAGCGACGCCGCGUGAGCGAUGAAGUGUUUCGGUAUGUAAAGCUCUAUCAGCAGGGAAGAAAAUGACGGUACCUGACUAAGAAGCCCCGGCUAACUACGUGCCAGCCGCCGCCGUAAUAC
rnacentral:rRNA from 1 species